UUGGCCCAGUGCAGUCCAUUAUCAAGUUUACAGAUAUCAAUGACGUCAUAGAACGUGCAAAUGAUUCUAAAUAUGGUCUGGCAGCAGGUGUAAUGACGAAAGAUAUUAAUAAAGCAUUGAUGAUGUCACAAAACUUAGAGGCUGGAAGCGUUUGGGUAAAUUGUUACGAUAUACUGAAGGCACAGACGCCGUUUGGAGGUUUCAAACAGAGUGGUCAUGGAAGAGAACUGGGCGAAUAUGCAUUACAUGAAUAUACAGAGAUAAAAACGGUCACUAUAAACUUUCCUGAGAAAAACCUGUAAAUAAUGGGUGCAGUUUCUAUUGUCUUAACAUCUAUUUACUUCGUAAUUAUAUCCAAGAAAACUUUACCGUUUGAGAGAAUGAAAUCAUCAGGUAUCCUAGCGGAUGCAUCUCCUGAUUCACUGAUUGUGAAGGUGUUUCCCUAUUCCCGCGGGCUUUGAUUU